AUUGAACGCUGGCGGCAUGCCUUACACAUGCAAGUCGAACGGCAGCACGGGAGCAAUCCUGGUGGCGAGUGGCGAACGGGUGAGUAAUAUAUCGGAACGUGCCCAGUAGUGGGGGAUAACUGCUCGAAAGAGCAGCUAAUACCGCAUACGACCUGAGGGUGAAAGGGGGGGCUCGCAAGACCUCUCGCUAUUGGAGCGGCCGAUAGCAGAUUAGCUAGUUGGUGGGGUAAAGGCCUACCAAGGCAACGAUCUGUAGUUGGUCUGAGAGGACGACCAGCCACACUGGGACGGAGACACGGCCCAGACUCCUACGGGAGGCAGCAGUGGGGAAUUUUGGACAAUGGGCGCAAGCCUGAUCCAGCAAUGCCGCGUGCAGGAAGAAGGCCUUCGGGUUGUAAACUGCUUUUGUCAGGGAAGAAAUCCUCUAGGUUAAUACCCUUGGGGGGAUGACGGUACCUGAAGAAUAAGCACCGGCUAACUACGUGCCAGCCGCCGCCGUAACAC
rnacentral:rRNA from 1 species